rnacentral:rRNA from 1 species
GUAAACGAUGUCGAUUUGGAGGUGUUCCGUGAGGAGUGGCUUCCGGAGCUAACGCGUUAAAUCGACCGCUGGGGAGUACGGCCGCAAGGUUAAAACUCAAAUGAAUUGACGGGGGCCCGCACAGCGGUGGAGCAUGUGGUUUAAUUCGAUGCAACGCGAAGAACCUUACCUACUCUUGACAUCCAGAGAAUUUAGCAGAGAUGCUUUAGUGCCUUCGGGAACUCUGAGACAGGUGCUGCAUGGCUGUCGUCAGCUCGUGUUGUGAAAUGUUGGGUUAAGUCCCGCAACGAGCGCAACCCUUAUCCUUUGUUGCCAGCACGUUAUGGUGGGAACUCAAAGGAGACUGCCGGUGAUAAACCGGAGGAAGGUGGGGAUGACGUCAAGUCAUCAUGGCCCUUACGAGUAGGGCUACACACGUGCUACAAUGGCGUAUACAAAGAGAAGCGACCUCGCGAGAGCAAGCGGAACUCAUAAAGUACGUCGUAGUCCGGAUUGGAGUCUGCAACUCGACUCCAUGAAGUCGGAAUCGCUAGUAAUCGUAGAUCAGAAUGCUACGGUGAAUACGUUCCCGGGCCUUGUACACACCGCCCGUCACACCAUGGGAGUGGGUUGCAAAAGAAGUAGGUAGCUUAACCUUCGGGAGGGCGCUUACCACUUUGUGAUUCAUGACUGGGGUGAAGUCGUAACAAGGUAACCA